rnacentral:rRNA from 1 species
CCGCNNUUGGGGNCGGGCCUAACACAUGCAAGUCGAGCGGUAGAGAGAAGCUUGCUUCUCUUGAGAGCGGCGGACGGGUGAGUAAUGCCUAGGAAUCUGCCUAGUGGUGGGGGAUAACGUUCGGAAACGGACGCUAAUACCGCAUACGUCCUACGGGAGAAAGCGGGGGACCUUCGGGCCUCGCGCCAUUAGAUGAGCCUAGGUCGGAUUAGCUAGUUGGUGAGGUAACGGCUCACCAAGGCGACGAUCCGUAACUGGUCUGAGAGGAUGAUCAGUCACACUGGAACUGAGACACGGUCCAGACUCCUACGGGAGGCAGCAGUGGGGAAUAUUGGACAAUGGGCGAAAGCCUGAUCCAGCCAUGCCGCGUGUGUGAAGAAGGUCUUCGGAUUGUAAAGCACUUUAAGUUGGGAGGAAGGGUAGUAACUUAAUACGUUGCUAUUUUGACGUUACCGACAGAAUAAGCACCGGCUAACUUCNUGCCANCAGCCGCGGUAAUACAAAGGGUGCAAGCGUUAAUCGGAAUUACUGG